rnacentral:rRNA from 1 species
UACGUAGGUGGCGAGCGUUAUCCGGAUUUAUUGGGCGUAAAGCGUGCGCAGGCGGUUUAUUAAGUCUAAGAUUAAAGCCCGGAGCUUAACUCCGGUUCGUCUUAGAAACUGGUAGACUUGAGUAUGGUAGAGGCAAAUGGAAUUCCUAGUGUAGCGGUGGAAUGCGUAGAUAUUAGGAGGAACACCAGUGGCGAAGGCGAUUUGCUGGGCCAUUACUGACGCUCAUGCACGAAAGCGUGGGGGGCAAAUAGG